AAUAGAUACCCUGGUAGUCCACGCUGUAAACGUUGGGCGCUAGGUGUGGGGGACCUCUCCGGUUCUCUGUGCCGCAGCUAACGCAUUAAGCGCCCCGCCUGGGGAGUACGGCCGCAAGGCUAAAACUCAAAGGAAUUGACGGGGGGCCCGCACAAGCGGCGGAGCAUGCGGAUUAAUUCGAUGCAACGCGAAGAACCUUACCUGGGUUUGACAUCACUCGAAAACUCGUAGAGAUACGGGGUCCUUCGGGGCGGGUGACAGGUGGUGCAUGGCUGUCGUCAGCUCGUGUCGUGAGAUGUUGGGUUAAGUCCCGCAACGAGCGCAACCCUCGUUCGAUGUUGCCAGCGUGUUAUGGCGGGGACUCAUCGAAGACUGCCGGGGUCAACUCGGAGGAAGGUGGGGAUGACGUCAAGUCAUCAUGCCCCUUAUGUCCAGGGCUUCACGCAUGCUACAAUGGCCGGUACAAAGGGUUGCGAUGCCGUGAGGUGGAGCGAAUCCCGAAAAAGCCGGUCUCAGUUCGGAUCGGGGUCUGCAACUCGACCCCGU
rnacentral:rRNA from 1 species